AUUGUUUGCAGCUACGCUAACAGAAAGCAGUCUCGGUUCUCCACUCUUGUGUGUUUUUGGAAGGAGGUUCUGUACCUGCUGGUUCUACGUCUUGCAAGGUGCUGCCACUACUGGAGGAAGAACCAAACCACUGUGCCUUGUCCCUGGUACACAAUGUGGCGAACACGUGUACAAGGGUAAAUUUCAUGACAAUAGUAGGACAUGCUGAAGAAUUCUGAGCUGCCUCGCUCUCCCUCCGCUUGUAGGUGCUAUCACUACCAGUGUAGGACAACUUUCCUCCUGCUGCAAGAAGCGGUGCAUGUUGGAGUGGGAGAUGAGUCAUCUUCUGCCUCGCUUCAUCUGAGGAAGGAGGGGAGACGUCUGCCUCGUAUCUCCACUACCUUGCCGACACGUGAUGCCAUCCAGUCUUGCCAACACAACGCCAUCCAGGGAGGGGGAGAGUAAGAGACUGCCCUGCUUGCUGCCAUCCUGGAAAUAGUCUGCCCCCUCCCUCCCCCGCACCACAACGUACGGCUUGCUAACACUUGCUACCAUCAAGGGACGGAGGAGACUGCAUCAUGUGUUCUUUCAGUGCAUGCCAGGGAAAGAAAUUCCCACCCAUAACUACACGCCAUCCUGCCACUUUGUAUCUAAUGUUGCCAUGCCAUUCCCUUCUCGUCCUGUGAAUCUACUAAUGGUGACCGUACUCAAUAAAUUAUUUUAAUUA